CCUACGUUGUGCAGCAGUGGGGGAUCUUGCACAAUGGAGGAAACUCUGAUGCAGCGCCGCCGCGUGAGGGAAGACGGUCUUCGGCUUGUAAACCUCUGUCUUUGGGGUCGAAAAUGACGGUACCCACAGAGGAAGCUCCGGCUACCUACGUGCCAGCAGCCGCGGUAAUACGUAGGGAGCGAGCGUUGUCCGGAAUUACUGGGUGUAAAGGGAGCGUAGGCGGGCGAGAAAGUUGAAUGUUAAAUCUACCGGCUUAACUGGUAGCUGCGUUCAAAACUUCUUGUCUUGAGUGAAGUAGAGGCAGGCGGAAUUCCGAGUGUAGCGUUGAAAUGCGUAGAUAGUAGGAGGAACACCAGUGGCGAAGGCGGCCUGCUGGGCUUUAACUGACGCUGAGGCUCGAAAGCGUGGGGAGCAAACAGGAUUAGAGACCCCAGUAGUC
rnacentral:rRNA from 1 species